GGUGAUGCGGCUCAGUGGUAGAGCAUUCGCUUGGAAUGUGAAGGGCCCCGGGUUCGAUCCCCGGCAUCUCCG